CAUCUAUGACCUUCUUCAACAGAGUGCCCUGUUCGCUCCUAGCUACUGCUCGGUCUUAUUCCAGUUAUUUACCCUUGCUGUAAAUGGAGGCUUGUGUUGCCUGGUAAAUAAUCCUCCCCUGAUAUAAGCUUUUCUCACAGUGACCUCUUCUCCUUCUCUACAACCUACUUUUGUCAUCCCAACGCACAAUUUCUCCUGUUACAACAUCCUGUCACUCCUCCCUUUCUCUUGUAACUCUUUCUCAAUACUUGAUAUCGCCUCUGCUGUCAUCGGGCAUAUUCAGAUACCUGCCAAUCUCAAGCUGUCAUUUUUCUCCUGCUUUCUGUCACAUGCCUGUUUGAACUAGCCUCCUUCUAGUACCUCACCUAAAAUCAUUCCUCCUCCCUCCCUACAGGUACGGGCCACCACACAAUGAGCUGUCUUCUCUUUCUCGUCAGUCUAACCUUUGUACUUCCCGUCUCUCUCUCUCUCUCUCUCUCUCUGUCUGUCACUCUUUCUCUCAUCCCCUAAUCCCCACAGGGCCUAUCCUGAGCCCCACACCGAGCCAAUCUCCUGCCAGAUUCAUAACCGACUGGCAACAUGGGGGGUGGGAACAACAGGCCUUCCCAUACUCUCUCAAUAUUCUCCUUUUGUCUGUAUGGCAAAUUCCUCAGUACUCUGUAGCUUCCCAGGGUGUGUGUGUGCGUGUGUGUGUGUGUUUGUGUAUAUAUGUUCUUAGAGACAAAGCAGAACCUGUCAGACGACUACCAUCAGCUACAGGAAUGACUACAGAUGCAUACACUACAGGGUGUUUUCAAGUACUGUCGCAGCUCUUUUCUAAAAACUAGUUUAUAUAAAAACCACAUCCCUUUCCCCUAACCUAAGUCGUCUGUGUUCAAGCAGCUCAGCUGUGGUGGGCACUGAACGUUCAGGAAAGUAUCGCUGAAACCCAAAGACACAUCUAAUGUAUGUUCUAAUGUCUGGCAAGCAUCAGUAUUUCAAUAAUCGAGAAGUUAUUUUAUGUUAUUUAUUGGGAGAAAUGAAAAGAUAUUUACUUAAAUCUUCUCCAAUGCAAAAAACUGCUUUGUGACUUUUUAGUUGAAUCUGUGUGUUUUUUUAAUGGUUUAUUUAGUCGAGUGGAUGUAUGUGUUGAGUAUUCUCAUACGCUUCUGGAAAAAUUCAACAUAAUCAAAGUGAUAUAAUGUCAUCAGUGGGUGAAUGUAGCUAAGUACAUUUACUCAAGCAGUUAAGUACAUAUUUGAGGAGUAUUUCUAUUUCAGACUACUUUACAUUUCUACACCACAACAAAAAAAUCUAUUUGACAACUUAUUUUCCAAAGUUAUACAGUCAAAACAUAUGAUGAUCCAGUAAAAAGUGUUACAUUGUUACACACUAAACUAUCCAACAGAACACAAAACACUUAAACUUAACCAACUACAAUAGUAUGUUGCUACUUUGCUACACACUGGUGCAUCUGUAAUAAUCUUAUAAAAUAUAUGAUAGUAUAACACACAGAGUUUUUUGCAUUGAGUACUUUUAUUUUUGAUAAAAGUACAUUUUGCUUGUGACGGAGUCUUGCUACUUUUACUCAAGGAUCUGAGCAGAUAUUUCCACCACCGCUGCGUGUGCUGUUGAUUUAUCUGUCAUGCAGCAGAUUAUUAUAAGUAUACUGGAAAUGAGGAUCCAACCAAACGAGACAGACUGUAUUUCUUUCUUCUUCUUCUUUUUUUUUUGUUGCUUUGUCGCAUGAAUUAUGAGUGUAAGUGCUGUAGGAGUAAUGAGUGGGGACUUUGUGUAAUGGGUGCCACGGAAAACAAGUCCACGAUUGUGGCUCAUGUGAAUAAGCAUGCAUAAAUAAAAGGAGAAUCAUCAUCACGUGUAGGCUACGUGCUCAAAGUUUCAGUACAGUCUGUCUGUGCUAUGUUUUGUGAGCUUACACUCAUUUUCCUCUUGUUUUCUGUUCCACUGUAUGUCUCACGGCGUUUCGGGGCAAAAUAUUAAGCUUUUGUUAGCAGAGGCAAAGGUGGGGAGUCGGGUGGAGUGUGUCAUAAAAGAGCGGAGGUAUUUAAUAAUGAAUUAUAACGUAUGCAUUGUUAUCUGUGCAUACGUUUGUAGGAAUUUACAUCAAAGGCAGAGCAGAUACUGUCUGUGUGUGAAAAAGAGAACAAGACGAGUAGAAAAAAAAAGAAAGAGCACCAUAUAUGGAAAAGACGUUGCCUAGCAACCGGCUCUGCCUUCAGCCCAAUUUUCCAUGACACACACGCUGAACUCUGAAUGCAAGACGGCAUCGCUACAAGUGUGUGUGUGUGUGUGUGUGUGUGUCUCUGAGUAUGCAUGUUUGAGCAAGUAUCUGCUCACGUCACAGCGUGUACACAGUGUACCUGGUUUGACAGCAUGGCCACAGUUUUUUAAAGCCAAUAACAAAAACACACACACACACACCCUCUUUCUUAUAACUAAUUACAGAGUUUGUACGCAAUUUCAAGAGGACAGAAUGUGUCCAGUAAAAAAAAAAAAACAAGCUCUUAUCAGAAACCACAGGCCAACGUCAUCCUGUUUGUUACAAUAGCUCAAGUGCAACUCCUCAGGUUGCUCAUUUCCUGGCUCUCAGUGUAAUAGCCAGGAAAUUACACUGUCCACUUACUCGCCGAUACAAAUGAUCAUUACUGUAACUGGAAGCUAAUUAACACGAUUGCAUUGCAGGGAAAUGUGACCUAAAAGACUGGACAUUAAGAGGAUUGCUCCUUUCUCAUCAAGUGUAUUUCUGUAACAGGGCACAGCUGACACUUCAUAAAGAUCACUGAACUGCAACACACACACACUCAACAACAAUGCUUUGUUGUGAA